CCUCAUCGACAUCAGCUUCCAAAGGACAACUUGCUAGGUAUUCGAACAAGAUUCCGAAUGCUGAAGAAAAUCCUAAAUGUCUAACCCACGUAAGGGAAGAAGGUGGAUCCACGAUCGUAAAUUGGAGG